GUGAGGGGGUUACUAGUGACAGAGUGAGGGAAGGGGUGACUAGUGGCAGAGUGAGGGAUGGAAGGGGUGACUAGUGACAGAGUGAGGGAGGUGGUGACUGUUACUAGUCACCACCUCCCUCACUCUGUCACUAGUCACCACCUCCCUCUGUCACUACUCCCUCCCUCCUUCUGUCACUACUCCCUCCCUCCUUCUGUCACUACUCCCUCCCUUCUUCUGUCACUAGUCACCCCCCAACAC